UUUACACCGUGACUCGGCAGAAGGGCUAUAGGUUCGCCAUGGAGGGCAAGCGACGCCUGCAUAGCCCGUCGGAAAUGCUGUUGGUUCGUAAAGUGACUACAGGGUAGCAGGCGGGGCGCCAGGCAGAGGCAGCACAGGAGCAGCGCCAGGUGCGGCGUGUUGCGCGUGCUCUUGCCACAACUCAGCAGCAGGCUACACGUGCUAUUGAAGCUCAAGAGGCACCACCAGCUGCGCCUGCAAACAAGCCUGCGGGCACGCGUGGCGAAACACACUUCGAAGUGUCGCGCUUCGAGGAUAGCAAAUAUGUAAAGGUCAAUCGUGCAUGUCUCCCAAUAUCCUAGUAUCGAAGACCCUGACCCCUGGGACCUCUCAUUCUUAACCUUCUCAGCAGACAUGGCGCACCUGGCAGCCGCGGGCUGCAGCCCCAGCUGAUCCCGCGCAUUGAAAUUCUACGCCACAGAGUUGUAUACGCGUUGGCGCCGCUGCAUGUUGCGUGCCUGGCUCAUACGCUACCAUAUGUAUCUGAGAUGCCUAUUCGGGGGUUGUGCAAGCUUCCGUGUGUGUCCUGACCCGAAUGCGCAUUUGUUUUGUCGCGUUGACACCACAUAUUGUUAUGAGACGCAGCCCAUCCUACUUAUGCAGGCUCCAGUAGGACAUUUCCGUUAUCCCGGCGACUUAGCACGAGGCCGACGUCUCACCGGCAGCAGUAGCGCCAAGCAGAGUGUUAAGAUCCGCCCGCGACCAGAUAAUGGCUCCAUCUAGUCUAUAUGAUUACAUGGAGGGUUCCUGGCGCGCCAGGCGCUCCAAAAAGGGAAAGGUUGCAGAAUUGCUCGGUGAAUUUCAAACGUCGGUCAAAGGCCAGUAAACUAGUCGCCCGGCGCGCCAGGGGUCUUCUAUGGGGUACUCCUUAUUGGUCUAUGCAAAGAAAUCGGGCCGGGGCCUGGUCGCAACUGGGAAAUGGGGGCGGUUGCCGACCGUUACCGAUCACAUGGGCCGAGUUGGCCACCCCGCACCCCUGGUUUUUGGUGAGAUUUAAAGGAUUUCCC
rnacentral:lncRNA from 1 species